GGCGGGGUAGCUCAGGUGGUUAGAGCGCAGGAUUCAUAACCCUGAGGUCAGGGGUUCAAUUCCCCUCCCCGCUA
rnacentral:tRNA from 1 species